AUUGAACGCUGGCGGCAGGCCUAACACAUGCAAGUCGAACGGCAGCACGGAGCUUGCUCUGGUGGCGAGUGGCGAACGGGUGAGUAAUAUAUCGGAACGUACCCAAGAGUGGGGGAUAACGUAGCGAAAGUUACGCUAAUACCGCAUACGAUCUAAGGAUGAAGGCAGGGGACCGCAAGGCCUUGUGCUCCUGGAGCGGCCGAUAUCUGAUUAGCUAGUUGGUGAGGUAAAGGCUCACCAAGGCAUCGAUCAGUAGCUGGUCUGAGAGGACGACCAGCCACACUGGAACUGAGACACGGUCCAGACUCCUACGGGAGGCAGCAGUGGGGAAUUUUGGACAAUGGGGGCAACCCUGAUCCAGCAAUGCCGCGUGAGUGAAGAAGGCCUUCGGGUUGUAAAGCUCUUUUGUCAGGGAAGAAACGGUCGUGGCUAAUAUCCAUGGCUAAUGACGGUACCUGAAGAAUAAGCACCGGCUAACUACGUGCCAGCCGCCGCCGUAA
rnacentral:rRNA from 1 species